GACAGAGGGUGCAAACGUUGUUCGGAAUUACUGGGCGUAAAGCGCGUGUAGGCGGCUCGGCAAGUCGGGUGUGAAAGCCCUGGGCUUAACCUAGGAAGUGCACUCGAAACUGCCAAGCUUGAGUUCUGGAGAGGAAGACGGAAUUCUCGGUGUAGAGGUGAAAUUCGUAGAUAUCGAGAGGAACACCGGUGGCGAAGGCGGCCUUCUGGACAGCAACUGACGCUGAGACGCGAAAGCGUGGGGAGCAAACAGG
rnacentral:rRNA from 1 species